AUAUUAUAUAACUUGAGUUCUUUUCAAUCUUUAAUUUUUUUUCCUAAGCGCUACGUGCCAGAGAACCAAGUUCUCAACUUUUCUUAAGCAUGACACUUACAAGUCAAGUGCUGAGUCAUUGGCCAUUCUCUUGACAACACAACAUCUCCACCAUCCUUUCUCUUACACGUAUGAAAUCAUCAAGCAGCUCACAAACUCUCUCCCUUGAAUGACUUUGACAUGAAGAAAGGCAAAUGAUCAUCAGAUUACUACAUGCUUCACUAUUUUAUUCCUUCUAUUACAUUCUCUACUGCUUCUUCCACCACGUUAUGCCUCUGCAUGAUUCACACCUCAUGUCCAUUGCAUGUUUCUCCUUUACACCUCAUGCUUAUUGCCACCUUUGAUUUGUUUCAUUCUUAAAUAUCUGAUUCGUGGAGGCUAUAUAAACGGAAGCAAUGGCAAUGCAAGAUAUUAACAUAGACACUCAAGAGAGGAUUCUGAGCAAUACACACACAGCAUUUUGUUCUUAUACAUUACUGAAAAAAUAACACUAAUUGUGAGUGAGUUAGUUUUUGCGGAGAUUCUUGAGUUUUGAAGCGGAAGCUAGGUUAAAGCUUAGCAUUUUUUAAAGCAAUUAAUUUUCUAAGGAUACGAAGUGCGAUAGUGCGUUCGUGUCGGAGCUAAAGAAUGGAAGGAAAGCUAGCCGGUACGAGGAGCGAUGACGUGAUUGGAUCGAAGUCGCAACUUAGGAAAGAAAGUGGCAAAGGCGAUGAAGAGCCUUCUGGCGAUGCUUAGCCAUGGUGAGAUGGAGGAGAGAUAGUAACCGGCGGAGCAAGGAUGGAAGAAGGUGUAUAGUUUUCCUCUUAGUAGUUUAUGCUUGAGUCUUCUUUGUUAUCUGAAAACUCUGUUACUAAAACCCUGUUUUCGCCACUGUUUAAGUGUGCGUACUUAUUUUUGGAAACUUGCUUAUGCUAUUGUAAGACACUAUUAUUAUAUGUCGGGAACGGAUUGUUUAA